UACGUAGGGUGCAAGCGUUGUCCGGAAUUAUUGGGCGUAAAGAGCUCGUAGGCGGUUUGUCGCGUCUGCUGUGAAAACUCGGGGCUUAACUCCGGGCCUGCAGUGGGUACGGGCAGACUAGAGUGCGGUAGGGGAGACUGGAAUUCCUGGUGUAGCGGUGAAAUGCGCAGAUAUCAGGAGGAACACCGGUGGCGAAGGCGGCGUUCUGGACUGCAACUGACACUGAGGAACGAAAGCCAGGGUAGCAAACGGG
rnacentral:rRNA from 1 species